AUGAUAUUUUAUAGAAGGAGUAGCUGUGAGAUAUGACAUGAUAUUUUAUAGAAGGAGUCAUAUCUCACAGCUACUAUCUCACAGCUACUCCUUCUAUAAAAUAUCAAGU
rnacentral:pre_miRNA from 1 species